CUUUGUUAAGCUCUAACGUCUUUCUUUGAAGCUGGUGUCAUGUUCCCUGGAUUUAAACCGAAGAGAACCUCCUAGAGACUUCAGUAGGCUUUUUCAGAUGUAUUGACCAGAUGUCCUGGAAGUGGCCCCUGAUGCAGACCCAGUUGUUGGGUAGCCACCCAUGCACGUUGACACAGCCCCCAGCAGUGGGCACGCAUGGGGAUGGACCCAGGAGUGGAGGAUGACCCAAUAGGCUUUUCCUGCCAAGCUGCUGCGGUCACCCUAGCACCCUCUUGCGGCCCCGCAGGGGUCCCUGACCCCCACUUUGAAAACCACUGGUUUAGGCUAUGCAAGUGGUGGGUAGCCACCCAUGCACGUUGACACAGCCAGCAGCGAGUACCCAGAGCGAUGGACCCAGAAGUGGAGGAUAAUCCAAUAGGAGUGCUGGAUCGAUAGGGGGCCAAUCAUCUCUAAUUGAGACCCUUAUAAAGACUCUGGGCGGCUCCGACUCACUCUCUCUCUCUCUUGAAUCUGGCUUCUUCAGACCACAGCCCUGACGGCCACACUGAGAAUGCAGACGAUGGUGGUGGAAUUAAUAACCUGGAUCAGGAGUCCUCUGACAGCAGAUCUGAAUGGGCACCUGAUGGUGAAGACAUUACAUGUGAGGAAAAGACACAUACUAGAGGGAGUCGAGGACUUGGCUGUUCUACAAAAUGUCACUAAGGGAUGCAACUGACAGCUGAAGUAGGAUCUUUUUUGUUUUUUUGGCCAUGACAAUGCUUUGACAGUUGAUAAUAAACUGAUAAUUACGAUACUAUGUGCACACCAUUGUUUUUAUGGGUUUUUUUUAAAUAAUAAAAUGGAUGUAC